CCAUUUUCAGGGCGCGUCCAUCGCAAAUCCGGCGAAAUACCCCGAUUUAGGUUAUGCUUGUUUCCGUGGCCGAGAAGGGUGUGCGGUUCUUUCGCUUGUCACCUCUCCCCAACUGAUGAGAGCCAGGAUAGGUUGGUAGGCCAGGAACCUCAGUUUUAGUCUCAGUAAAAUGGCAGCUCAAGAUAGUUUUGAAGUUGGAGCUUGAUGAGGGUGAAGAACCCAAUUCUGAGUAGCCCCUUGCCUAUGAAGCCCCACUUCUGAGAACAUCAGAAUUGUCCCCUAAACCUCUUUCAAGAUGGCAAAGUCUUAUGGGAGUCUAAACUACCAAAUUAGUUGCGGUAUUUCCUGGAGUCAACAUUUAUUGAGCAGCAUUAGGGGCUAGAACAGAAAACAGCUGAAGAGGCCUCUGCCAAAUUGGACCUGUUUAUGACAAGUAAAAUUGAAUAGUAUGUGGAGGGCAAGAACACAUUCAAAAAGUGCAACUAAAAGUGGCUCUGGCAUGCACUAGCAACGUGAAUUAUGGAUUAGAGAAAGCAAAGGAGGCACUAGAAAACACAUUAAGCAAUGAAGGGUGCUUAGACUAUUUUUCUGUGUCAAGAAGAGAAUGUAUGGAAAAGCCAAAGAGCAAGUUAUGAAAUACAUGCUUAAAGUUGUAAGACUAGAGAGUGUCGGAGGUUGGCUGGAAGAGGAAAUGGGCUUGAGUUUCUAAUCCCCCUGCCUCCACCUCCUGAGUGCAGGCAGGGGUUAUAGGCUUGACAGCUUUUACGCAAUACUGGCGAUCCAACUCGAGGCUUUGUUCAUGCCAGGCAAACCAACUGAACUGCAUCCCUAGCCUAGAAAUCCAGUUUCUUUGUUGUGAGUUAGAGGGAACCACUAAAAAGUUUAGGUGAGGGAAUAGUGGCACUGUGUGUGUGUGCGUGUGCGUGUGCGCGUCAUGUAUGUGUGUGUAAAAUGAAUUAGUUGCUAUAGAGAAGUGACAUCUGGACCCAAAUGAGCAGUGAGCAAGGCAGACCUCAGAGACAGUUCCAAAAGAGAUGGAAGGUCUUUAACAAAAGCUUAUGGGUUGGAUUAGUAUGGGUGAUGUUGACACUCACUGGGAAGGCAAAAAGAAGCCAAUCUCCCAACAUAUGUGGGGAAGCUAAGGAAGAAAAGGUGACUUUAAGGGAGAGGCCUAAUAGGUGAUAUAUGUAAAAAGGCCAAGGUACUGACAUAGACCCUGGGUGGACAGGAAAGUGAUCUUAGGCAGAAAUACAGAAUUGAACAAAAUAAUAAAAUAUGGAUGGUAG
ensembl:lncRNA